rnacentral:lncRNA from 1 species
UGUAGCCACACAGAUGCUAACACCAGGUGAAGCCACACAGAUGCUAUCACCACCACACUGACAUGACCGUGCACAAAACGCAACCCUCUACAUAGUCGCACUGGUUCCAAACUCUAGACACAAAGCUAAACAUCACACAACGAGUUCCCCACUCAAAAUCUAACCUCACUACGAAGGUUCACAACCUUUAGUUCCUCAAAGAUCCUAGGUCGACACACGAAAUUUCUAAAGUCACCUCUUAAGCCUCCACAACAUAGCCAAUUCAACUAGGCCCCACACGGAGUGGUGACUGCUACCCUCCAAAAAGAAACACCGCAAACUCUUUACACCAAAGCUAGUAAAACUAGUCGAUUCCAGUCAACAUGAUGCUGUCUAUUAUUAACAAGAGAUCAAGGAUGAUCAGUUCCUCAAUUUGUCAAUAGAUAGCCGACAAUCAUGAUGGUGGUUUAGACCAUCUUCACCUAACUUUAAUAAUGUUUUUUUUUCUUUGCCACUUGUGCUCUAGGUCCUCCGAGGCACAAGGGUCCAACAAUUCCUUCGUGGUUUUCUUAAUGUUAUCCUCACUUACUUACUACCUCGACCUUGUCAACGAGACACGGCGCUCAAAACACGUCGCUUGAACUCUCAUGCUUUCACUCAUAAAACAUCCUUAGAGUAUCAUCCAACAACAAGUAC